GCCUAUGAGUAGUGACGGAGUGCAAAGUCACUGCCAAGCCACUCUCCCCUCUGUUCAUCCCCACAAGGGCCCUCUCUGGGGGAAGCCUCCUCUUGCCCCACCCUGCCAUGGCCGCCAGGCUCCUCUGCUCUGCCAUCCUUUGUCUCCUGGGACUAGGGCUCUCAGAUGUUGGAGUCACCCAGACACCCAGGCACAAGGUGACAAAGAUUGAACAAGAAGUAACCCUGAGUUGUAAGCCAAUUUCUGGCCAUGACAGCCUUUACUGGUACAGACAGACCUCACUACAGGGACUGAAGUUACUAGUGUAUUUCCGUAAUCAAGCUCCUAUUGACGAGACAGGGAUGCCCAAGGAACGAUUCUCAGCUAAUGCUAAUGGAUCAUUCUCCACUCUGAAGAUCCAGCCCACAGAAGCCGGGGACUCGGCCACGUACCUCUGUGCCAGCAGCUUAGCCACAGAGCUGCAGAGUCACCCCCUCCCUGUGCAGAAACCUUUCUAUUUCCCCUUCCGGCCCCAGAUAUCCUCAGCAGUUUCCAGGCUCGCCUAA